rnacentral:rRNA from 1 species
GAUGAACGCUGGCGGCGUGCCUAAUACAUGCAAGUCGAGCGAACAGACGAGGAGCUUGCUCCUCUGACGUUAGCGGCGGACGGGUGAGUAACACGUGGAUAACCUACCUAUAAGACUGGGAUAACUUCGGGAAACCGGAGCUAAUACCGGGUAAUAUAUUGAACCGCAUGGUUCAAUAGUGAAAGACGGUUUUGCUGUCACUUAUAGAUGGAUCCGCGCCGCAUUAGCUAGUUGGUAAGGUAACGGCUUACCAAGGCGACGAUGCGUAGCCGACCUGAGAGGGUGAUCGGCCACACUGGAACGGAGACACGGUCCAGACUCCUACGGGAGGCAGCAGUAGGGAAUCUUCCGCAAAGGGCGAAAGCCUGACGGAGCAACGCCGCGUGAGUGAUGGAGGUCUUCGGAUCGUAAAACUCUGUUAUUAGGGAAGAACAAAUGUGUAAGUAACUAUGCACGUCUUGACGGUACCUAAUCAGAAAGCCACGGCUAACUACGUG